GGGCUCCUGGUGCUUACCACAGGCUCUGUUCUUAGACUGACUGCAUAGAAACAGGAGGCAGAGUAGACCUUCCCCAUACACACCUCAGCUCAGGCCUCCUGACAGAUCUGUACCGUGAAUGUGGGAACAUGG
ensembl:snoRNA